rnacentral:rRNA from 1 species
UAAUAGCGUAUAUUUAAGUUGCUGCAGUUAAAAAGCUCGUAGUUGGAUUUCGGGUGGGAAUGGCCGGUCCGCCGUUUCGGUGUGCACUUGCUACGCCCACCUUGCUGCCGGGGACGUGCUCUUGAGUUCACGCUCGGGACACGGAGUCGGCGAGGUUACUUUGAGUAAAUUAGAGUGUUCAAAGCAGGCCUACGCUCUGAAUACAUUAGCAUGGAAUAACACGAUAGGACUCUGGCCUAUCUUGUUGGUCUGUAGGACCGGAGUAAUGAUUAAGAGGGACAGUCGGGGGCAUUCGUAUUUCAUUGUCAGAGGUGAAAUUCUUGGAUUUAUGAAAGACGAACUACUGCGAAAGCAUUUGCCAAGGAUGUUUUCAUUAA